UGAGGAUGUAUUUGACAGGUUGGUAGGUGAAGGUGAUACUUGGUGAGUGUUGCUGACCAAGGAUGCUGAAGACAUCCCGGAGUUAGCGGGUCCUGGAAAUCGAGGUACUGGAUUCUGAGAUGUCGGUCCAGGAAACCAUUGCCCUUGGUAUGGCUGGAAAUGACUUUGAAGUUGAGCAGGUUGUGCUCCAAAACCUGGUUGAGCCAUCCCUUCCACAGGAGGAGUCAGGCCAGGUGUUGCUUCAACGGAAAUAGUUUCUCCAUCACCUGAGGCUUUUGUGGUUGUGGCCGCAGG
rnacentral:misc_RNA from 1 species